UUAUGAUCAGCUAAUAAAGCUAAUGAGUUCAUACCUCAUAAAUGAAUUUAUUUUUAU
rnacentral:tRNA from 1 species